CUCAGGCAGUAACUGUGGCGGUCAGCCACAGGGUGGUUGGUGGUGUGAGCGUCUGCGAUGUGAACUGGGAGGUCGGGAGCCUCGCGGAGAAGGUCACGCUCCAGCAGAGACCAGAGGAGAAGCCGAACUCGGGAGGCGGGCGAGGCAUUCCAGGCUGACAGGAACUGCACGCACAGAGGCCCUGGGGCAGGACCUGCCUGGUGUGUAGGAGAAACAGCGACGAGGCCCGUGCAGCUGGAGCAGCGUGAGCAAGGAGAAGAGGAGCCGGGAGGAAGCCGAUGCGGCGGGUCCUGCACGGCCUGUGGACUGUGGGGACACGGGUGACGUGUGAGCAGGGACGCGUCCCAAUCAGAGCUCACAAGCGCCCUCUGGUGACAUCUGGGAGAGCAAAACGUGGGCGGUGCCGGGAGAGGGCGUCACAUGCUGGGAAGGAUGAUGAGGAUGGAUGACAGGAAGGAUGAUAGGGGAGGAUGAUGGGAAGGAUGAUGGGGAAGGAUGAUGGUAAGGAUGAUGGAGAAGGAUGAUGGGGAAGGAUGAUGGGGAAGGAUGAUGGGGAAGGAUGAUGGAGAACGAUGAUGGAGAACGAUGAUGGAGAAGGAAUGUGGGAAGGAUGAUGGAGAACGAUGAUGGAAAACGAUGACGGAGAAUGAUGAUGGAGAAGGAAUGUGGGAAGGAUGAUGGGGAAGGAUGAUGGAAAGGAUGAUGGGAAGGAUGAUGGAGAACGAUGAUGGAGAACGAUGAUGGAGAAGGAAUGUGGGAAGGAUGAUGGGGAAGGAUGAUGGGAAGGAUGAUGGGAAGGAUGAUGGAGAAGGAAUGUGGGAAGGAUGAUGGGGAAGGAUGAUGAGAAGGAUGAUGGGGAAGGAUGAUGGGAAGGAUGAUGGGAAGGAUGAUGGGAAAAGAUGAUGGGAAAGUAUGAUGGGAAGGAUGAUGGGAAGGAUGAUGGAGAACGAUGAUGGAGAAGGAUGAUGGAGAAGGAUGAUGGGAAGGAUGAUGGAGAACGAUGAUGGAGAAGGAAUGUGGGAAGGAUGAUGGGGAAGGAUGAUGGGAAGGAUGAUGGAGAAGGAUGAUGGGGAAGGAUGAUGGGGAAGGAUGAUGGGAAGGAUGAUGGGGAAGGAUGAUGGGAAGGAUGAUGGGAAGGAUGAUGGGGAAGGAUGAUGGGGAAGGAUGAUGGAGGAUGAUGGAGAAGGAUGAUGGGAAGGAUGGUGGGAAGGAUGAUGGAGAAGGAUGAUGGGAAGGACAAUGGGAGGAUGACCGAGAAGGAUGAUUGGAGGAUGAUGGGAAAGGAUAAUGGGAAGGAUGAUGGCAACCAAGACCAACUCAUCUUCACCAAGCUCAUGGUGUAGCCAGAAAGUUGAUCACCCACAGCAGCACUGCCCACCAGAAACAGACUGAGAACCUCCUACUUUUUUUUUUUUUUUUUUUUUGAGACAAUAUGUUGCUCUAUCACCCAGGCUGGAGAGUGCAGUGGUGCAAUCAUAGCUCACUGGAGCCUCCAACUUCUGGGCUGAAGUGAUCUUCCCACUUCAGCCUCUGGAGUAGCUAGGACUAUAGGCAUGUGUCACCAUCCCUGGCUAAUUUCUUUUUUGUGUGUGGAGAUGGGAUCUUGCUAUGUUGCCCAGGCUGGUCUUUAACUCCUGGCCUCAAGCAAUCCCCCUGCCUUAGUCUCCCAAAGCACUGGGUUUACAGGCAUGAACCACCAUGCUCGGCCAUUUUUAAAUUUUCUAGUAGUUGUAUCAAAAAAAGAGAAACACGUGAAAUUAAUUUUAAUAAUACAUUUUAUUAACCCCCAUAUCCAAAAUAAUAUCAUUUCUGCAUAUGAACAUUACAGGUGAGAUAUUUCACAUUCUUCUUUUAAUGCUGUCCUCCCAGCCUGGCAUGUUUUGCACUCUCUGCCUCAGUGUGGAGCGUCCACAGUUCCAGUGCUCCAGCGUCACCUGUGACCUGUGGACGCUGUGUCGGGCAGCACAGGUCUAGAGAGUAGAGCCUAGGACUGAUCCCUUGGGCCAAUGGUGCUCAGCCAUGGGUGUUGCUGCCCCCAGGGGACACUUGGCUAUGUCUGGAGACAUUCUUGGCUGCCAGGACCAGGAGUGCUGAUGACAUCUAGUGACUGGAGAACUACAACGCUGUUCCUCCCAAGAGAAGACCCUCAAAUGUCAAUGGUGUCAAGAUGGGGAAAUGCUGCCUUAGUGGAUGGGCACUUAUUAAUCGCCUACUGCAUACAGGGUGAGAUCGGCAGGGCGUCCUUGGCAUACAGCAGAUUACUCAUGCAGAACGGCUCUGCUGCCAGCUCUGUGCUCACAGGCGCCACCCCACGAGCUGUUCCAUGCCUAUCACCAUGGACAGAGGCGGAGGUCACAAAGCCAGCAGGAGUGUGGACCUAGGACUCAAGUCCAGAAUGUUCUUGGCCCUGCACUGUCCUGCCC
rnacentral:lncRNA from 10 species